UACGGGGGGGGCAAGCGUUGUUCGGAAUUACUGGGCGUAAAGCGCGCGUAGGCGGCUUUGCAAGUCGGGUGUGAAAUCCCCAGGCUUAACCUGGGAACUGCAUUCGAGACUGCAUUGCUAGAGUAUGGGAGAGGGAAGUGGAAUUUCCGGUGUAGCGGUGAAAUGCGUAGAUAUCGGGAGGAACAUCAGUGGCGAAGGCGGCUUCCUGGCCCAAUACUGACACUCAGGUGCGACAGCGUGGGGAGCAAACAGG
rnacentral:rRNA from 1 species